rnacentral:rRNA from 1 species
GUCCACGCUGUAAACGGUGAGUGCUCGUCGUCGUGGGUAUUGACCCCUGCGGUGACCAAGUUAACACAUGAAGCACUCCGCCUGGGAAGUACGGUCGCAAGACUAAAACUCAAAGAAAUUGACGGGGGCCCGCACAAGCGGUGGAGCAUGUUGUUUAAUUCGAAGCAACGCGCAGAACCUUACCUGGAUUUGACAUCUCUGGAAUCCUCCUGAAAGGGAGGAGUGCCUUCGGGAGCCAGAAGACAGGUGCUGCAUGGCUGUCGU